GGCCCCAUGGUCAAGUGGUUAAGACACCGCCCUUUCAAGGCGGUAACAGGGGUUCGAAUCCCCUUGGGGUCACCA
rnacentral:tRNA from 3 species